GACGAACGCUGGCGGCGUGCUUAACACAUGCAAGUCGAACGGAAAGGUCCUGCUUUUGUGGGGUGCUCGAGUGGCGAACGGGUGAUUAACACGUGAGUAACCUGCCCUUUACUUUGGCAUAACUUCAGGAAACUGGAUCUAAUACCUGAUAGGAUCUCCUGCUCCAGGGUGGGGGUGGGAAAGUUUCGGCGGUUGGUGAUGGACUGGCGGCUUAUAAGCUUGUUGAUUGGGUGGUGGAUUACCAAGGCCUUGAGCGGUGGCCGGCCUGCGAGGGUAACAGGACACAUUGGGACUGGACUACGGCACAGCCUAGUACGGGAGGCAGCAGAGGAGUAGAUAGUACAAUGGGCGGAAGGAUGAUGCAGCACAGCAGCGCGGGGGAUGACGGCCAGCGGGUUGUAAACCACAUUCGCCUGUCACGAAGCGUGAGUGACGGUAAUGGGUAAAGAAGCACCGGCUAACUCCGUG
rnacentral:rRNA from 1 species